GACGAACGCUGGCGGCGUGCUUAACACAUGCAAGUCGAACGGAAAGGCCCUGCUUUUGUGGGGUGCUCGAGUGGCGAACGGGUGAGUAACACGUGAGUAACCUGCCCUUGACUUUGGGAUAACUUCAGGAAACUGGGGCUAAUACCGGAUAGGGGCUCCUGCUGCAUGGUGGGGGUUGGAAAGUUUCGGCGGUUGGGGAUGGACUCGCGGCUUAUCAGCUUGUUGGUGGGGUAGUGACUUACCAAGGCUUUGACGGGUAGCCGGCCUGAGAGGGUGACCGGCCACAUUGGGACUGAGAUACGGCCCAGACUCCUACGGGAGGCAGCAGUGGGGAAUAUUGCACAAUGGGCGGAAGCCUGAUGCAGCAACGCCGCGUGCGGGAUGACGGCCUUCGGGUUGUAAACCGCUUUCGCCUGUGACGAAGCGUGAGUGACGGUAAUGGGUAAAGAAGCACCGGCUAACUACGUG
rnacentral:rRNA from 1 species